GUCCCCAUCGUCUAGUGGCCUAGGACACCGGGUUUUCAUCCCGGCAACAGGGGUUCGACUCCCCUUGGGGAUGCCA
rnacentral:tRNA from 1 species